GAUAACAUUUGGAAACAGAUGCUAAUACCGCAUAGAUCCAAGAACCGCAUGGUUCUUGGCUGAAAGAUGGCGUAAGCUAUCGCUUUUGGAUGGACCCGCGGCGUAUUAGCUAGUUGGUGAGGUAAUGGCUCACCAAGGCGAUGAUACGUAGCCGAACUGAGAGGUUGAUCGGCCACAUUGGGACUGAGACACGGCCCAAACUCCUACGGGAGGCAGCAGUAGGGAAUCUUCCACAAUGGACGCAAGUCUGAUGGAGCAACGCCUCGUGAGUGAAGAAGGCUUUCGGGUCGUAAAACUCUGUUGUUGGAUAAGAAUGGUCGGCAGAGUAACUGUUGUCGGCGUGACGGUAUCCAACCAGAAAGCCACUGCUAACUUACGUGCCUCAGCCGCGGUAAUAACGUAGGU
rnacentral:rRNA from 2 species